UUAGGUGGUUAUAGCAGCGGGGUUCCACCUCUUCCCAUUCCGAACAGAGAAGUUAAGCCCGUUCACGCCGAUGGUACUGCAGUAACAUGUGGGAGAGUAGGUAGCCGCCUCCU
rnacentral:rRNA from 5 species